rnacentral:ncRNA from 1 species
CAAAAUUAAAAAUCCUAUGAAACUUCAUUAGUUUUUGGGAUUGAUUUUAGACUUUUUUUAGCAGGAAGGAAAAGAUGGCCUCCUUCAAGGAGAGGGAAGGGGGGCAUACUACCACUCCAGAAGCUAGAAUGUUCUAACCCUGUGACAAAACCUAUAGGUCGAGAGACAGUCUUAGGUAGAAGUUUCUAUGAGGUGUAGGUCUCGCCAAAGAUAAUAGAGACAUGUAAAAGGUUUCCUUGAGCCAAAUGGAGAUUGACUCUUGAGUGCAAAAGUAAAAGAGAGCUUGAUUGCAAGAUCCACCCAUUGAGUAGGGACGAAAGUCGGUCUUAUUGAUCCAAUGGUGUCAAGUGGAAGGAUCAUUGUUCAAUGGAUAAAAGUUAAUCUAUAGAUAAUAGGUUGAUCUUCCCUAAUAGCUCACAUCAAUGGGAAGGUUUGACACUUUGAUGUUCCACUAUUUGCCACUUGGGACUAUAGUAUGUUCCAAGGAUUUGGUUAUUGGCCCAUUAAAGUGAUAAGUGAAUUGGGUUCAUAACAUCAUAAAAAUAGUUUAAUCCAUAUUUG